rnacentral:lncRNA from 1 species
UUAUUUCAUUAUCAUUUUCUUUCUUCCAUAACACUUUCGUGUUCUUUCUUUUUCUCUCAAACAACUUAGAUCUGCAGAACCAACAACAAAGGAGCUUGCAUCAUUGAUGGUGCAGUGACAAGUUUAAGAUCCAUAGAGAUAAAAGGAAAACAAGUUAUACUGAUGAACCAAAUAAAACCAUAACCAUUUCCAAACCCUCGUGUUGGAUGAUAGAAACUCAAAGAGGUGCGGAGAGGGUCGCUCCUAACAGCGAAAGUUUGUACCAUAAAGUGUGGGAAGAAUAAUGAACUCUUUAAUGGUUGGAAAAUUUGAUUUUUUGUUGUAAUUUGUAUGGGUUGUGUUCUUUGUUGCAGAUGUAAUCUUUUCAUUUGAAUGUUUAUGAAAAGUGUGAAUCAUGUUUGAUUUAUUCCUCAAUAUACAUCAAUGAUUUGUUCUUUUACCUUUAA